CAUUCAAAGAGUGCGUAAUAGCUCACUGGUCGAGCGUCUUUGCGCGGAGAAUUUAACGGGGCUAAACCUGACACCGAAGCUUAGGCAAUACAGCAAUGUAUUGGGUAGGGGAGCGUUGUAUACGCGGUGAAACAGUAGCGCAAGCGGCUGUGGAGUGUAUAGAAGUGAGAAUGCCGGAAUGAGUAGCGCGAAUGCAGUGAGAAUCUGCAUGGCCGAAAGCCUCAGGUUUCUGGAGGAAGGUUCGUCCGCUCCAGGUUAGUCGGGAGCUAAGGUGAGGCCGGAAGGCGUAGCCGAUGCACAGACGGUAGAGAUUCCGUCACCACCAAAAGAGUUAAGCACAGGGACACAUUUGAAGUCUCAGAGCCGGGUGUUGGUUCCGGUAGAGAUCGAGGGAAAUUAGUACCGAAGUCUGGGAUGGAAGAUGGCGAGAAAAGCUGUGUGUAUUUCUGAGGUGCCCGUACCGCAAACCGACACAGGUAGGUAGGAAGAAGAUUCUAAGGCCAACGGGAGAAGGGUUGUUAAGGAACUCGGCAAGUUGACCCCGUAACUUCGGAAUAAGGGGUGCUCACGAGAGUGAGCCGCAGAGAAUAGGCCCAGGCAACUGUUUACCAAAAACACAGGUUUGUGCUAAAUCGAAAGAUGACGUAUACGAGCUGACGCCUGCCCGGUGCUGGAAGGUUAAGAGGAGAUGUGCAAGCAUUGAAUCGAAGCCCCAGUGAACGGCGGCCGUAACUAUAACGGUCCUAAGGUAGCGAAAUUCCUUGUCAGGUAAGUUCUGACCCGCACGAAAGGCGUAAUGAUUUGGGCACUGUCUCAACAGCCCGCCCGGCGAAAUUGUAGUACCGGUGAAGAUGCCGGUUACCCGCGACAAGACGGAAAGACCCCAUGGAGCUUUACUGUAGCCUAAUAUUGGGUUUCGAUGUUGCAUGCACAGGAUAGAUGGGACACAGGGAAACAGGAGCUUUGGCUUCUGCGGAGUGGCCGUUGGGAUACCAUCCUUGCGAUAUUGGAAUUCUAACCUGCGGCUCUGAAUCGAGUCGGGGGACAUUGUUAGGUGGGCAGUUUGACUGGGGCGGUCGCCUCCUAAAAAGUAACGGAGGCGUUCAAAGGUUCGCUCAGCUUGAACGGAAAUCAAGCAAAAGAGUGCAAACGCAGAAGCGAGCCUAACUGCGAGACUGACGGGUCGAGCAGUAACGAAAGUUGGAGUUAGUGAUCCGGUGGUAUGUGAGUGGAAAUGCCAUCGCUCAACGGAUAAAAGUUACCCUGGGGAUAACAGGCUGAUCUCCCCCAAGAGUCCACAUCGACGGGGAGGUUUGGCACCUCGAUGUCGGCUCAUCGCAUCCUGGGGCUGAAUUCGGUCCCAAGGGUUUGGCUGUUCGCCAAUUAAAGCGGUACGCGAGCUGGGUUCAGAACGUCGUGAGACAGUUCGGUCCCUAUCUGUCGUGGGCGCAGGAUAUUUGAUGGGAGCUGUCCCUAGUACGAGAGGACCGGGACGGACGUACCUCUGGCGCACCAGUUGUUCCGCCAGGAGCAUAGCUGGGCAACUACGUACGGAUCGGAUAAACGCUGAAAGCAUCUAAGCGUGAAGCCGACCCAAAGAUAAGAUAUCCCACUGAUUCAAUCAGGUAAGAUCCCUUGUAGACUACGAGGUUGAUAGGCACGAUGUGUAAGUGGAGCGAUCCAUUCAGCAAGUGUGUACUAAUAGAUCGAGGGCUUGACCA
rnacentral:rRNA from 1 species